rnacentral:rRNA from 1 species
GAUGAACGCUGGCGGCGCGCCUAACACAUGCAAGUCGAACGAUUAAAGCACCUUCGGGUGUGUAUAAAGUGGCGAACGGCUGAGUAACACGUGGGCAACCUGCCCCUCUCAUUGGGAUAGCCACGGGAAACCGUGGAUAAUACCGAAUACUUCGGGACUUCCGCAUGGAAGACUCGAGAAAGCUCCGGCGGAGAGGGAUGGGCCCGCGGCCUGUUAGCUUGUUGGUGGGGUAAUGGCCUACCAAGGCAAUGAUGGGUAGCUGGGUUGAGAGACCGACCAGCCAGAUUGGGACUGAGACACGGCCCAGACUCCUACGGGAGGCAGCAGUGGGGAAUCUGGCACAAUGGGCGAAAGCCUGAUGCAGCGACGCCGCGUGCGGGAUGAAGGCCUUCGGGUUGUAAACCGCUUUCAGCAGGGACGAGGCGAAAGUGACGGUACCUGCAGAAGAAGCCCCGGCUAACUACGUG